AUUGAACGCUGGCGGCAGGCCUAACACAUGCAAGUCGAACGGUAACAGGAAGCAGCUUGCUGCUUUGCUGACGAGUGGCGGACGGGUGAGUAAUGUCUGGGAAACUGCCUGAUGGAGGGGGAUAACUACUGGAAACGGUAGCUAAUACCGCAUAACGUCGCAAGACCAAAGAGGGGGACCUUCGGGCCUCUUGCCAUCGGAUGUGCCCAGAUGGGAUUAGCUAGUAGGUGGGGUAACGGCUCACCUAGGCGACGAUCCCUAGCUGGUCUGAGAGGAUGACCAGCCACACUGGAACUGAGACACGGUCCAGACUCCUACGGGAGGCAGCAGUGGGGAAUAUUGCACAAUGGGCGCAAGCCUGAUGCAGCCAUGCCGCGUGUAUGAAGAAGGCCUUCGGGUUAUAAAGUACUUUCAGCGGGGAGGAAGGGAGUAAAGUUAAUACCUUUGCUCAUUGACGUUACCCGCAGAAGAAGCACCGGCUAACUCCGUG
rnacentral:rRNA from 1 species